rnacentral:rRNA from 1 species
CUGACUGCUAUCGGAUGAUACUAAGCCAUGCGAGUCUUUGUAGUAAUACAAGGCAGACGGCUCAGUAACACGUAGUCAACCUACCCUAUGGACAAGAAUAAUCUCGGGAAACUGGGCAUAAUUCUUGAUAGAUCAUAAUGCCUGGAAUGGUUUAUGGUUAAAAUGAUUCGUCGCCAUAGGAUGGGACUGCGGCCUAUCAGCUUGUUGGUGAGGUAAUGGCCCACCAAGGCGAUUACAGGUACGGGCUCUGAGAGGAGAAGCCCGGAGAUGGGUACUGAGACACGGACCCAGGCCCUAUGGGGCGCAGCAGGCGAGAAAACUUUGCAAUGUGCGAAAGCACGACAAGGUUAAUCCGAGUGAUUUCUGCUAAAGAAAUCUUUUGCCAGUCAUAAAACCACUGGUGAAUAAGGGGUGGGCAAGUUCUGGUGUCAGCCGCCGCGGUAAAACCAGCACCUCAAGUGGUCAGGAUGAUUAUUGGGCCUAAAGCAUCCGUAGCCGGCUUUGUAAGUUUUCGGUUAAAUCCAUGUGCUCAACGCAUGGGCUGCCGAAAAUACUGCAUGGCUAGGGAGUGGGAGAGGUAGACGGUACUCAGUAGGAAGGGGUAAAAUCCUUUGAUCUAUUGAUGACCACCCGUGGCGAAGGCGGUCUACCAGAACACGUUCGACGGUGAGGGAUGAGAGCUGGGGGAGCAAACCGGAUUAGAUACCCGGGUAGUCCCAGCUGUAAACGAUGCAGACUCGAUGAUGCAUUGGCAUAAUAGCCAGUGCAGUGUCGCAGGGAAGCCGUUAAGUCUGCCGCCUGGGAAGUACGUACGCAAGUAUGAAACUUAAAGGAAUUGGCGGGGGAGCACCACAAGGGGUGAAGCCUGCGGUUCAUUGGAUUCACCGCCGG